UACGGGGGGAGCAAGCGUUGUUCGGAUUUACUGGGCGGAAAGGGCGCGUAGGCGGCCACCGCAAGUCGACUGUGAAAUCUCCGGGCUUAACUCGGAAAGGUCAGCCGAUACUGCGGGGCUAGAGUGCAGAAGGGGCAACUGGAAUUCUCGGUGUAGCGGUGAAAUGCGUAGAUAUCGAGAGGAACACCUGCGGCGAAGGCGGGUUGCUGGGCUGACACUGACGCUGAUUGUGCGAAAGCUAGGGGAGCGAACGGG
rnacentral:rRNA from 1 species